AGAUUCACUUCGGUGAUGACGCUGGGAACGCGAGCGGCGGAUGGGUGAGUAACACGUGGGUAACCUGCCCUAAAGUCUGGGAUACCACUUGGAAACAGGUGCUAAUACCGGAUAACAACAAUAGCUGCAUGGCUAUUGCUUAAAAGGCGGCGAAAGCUGUCGCUAAAGGAUGGACCCGCGGUGCAUUAGCUAGUUGGUAAGGUAAUGGCUUACCAAGGCGACGAUGCAUAGCCGAGUUGAGAGACUGAUCGGCCACAUUGGGACUGAGACACGGCCCAAACUCCUACGGGAGGCAGCAGUAGGGAAUCUUCCACAAUGGGCGAAAGCCUGAUGGAGCAACGCCGCGUGAGUGAGGAAGGUUUUCGGAUCGUAAAGCUCUGUUGUUGGUGAAGAAGGAUAGAGGUAGUAACUGGCCCCUAUUUGACGGUAAUCAACCAGAAAGUCACGGCUAACUACGUGCCAGCAGCCGCGGUAAUACGUAGGUGGCAAGCGUUGUCCGGAUUUAUUGGGCGUAAAGCGAGCGCAGGCGGAAAGAUAAGUCUGAUGUGAAAGCCCCCGGCUUAACCGAGGAAUUGCAUCGGAAACUGUGUUUCUUGAGUGCAGAAGAGGAGAGUGGAACUCCAUGUGUAGCGGUGGAAUGCGUAGAUAUAUGGAAGAACACCAGUGGCGAAGGCGGCUCUCUGGUCUGUAACUGACGCUGAGGCUCGAAAGCAUGGGUAGCGAACAG
rnacentral:rRNA from 1 species